rnacentral:tRNA from 1 species
GGGCCGGUAGCUCAGUUGGUAGAGCAACGGACUUUUAAUCCGUAGGUCGUGGGUUCGAUCCCCACCCGGGUCA